AUUGAACGCUGGCGGCAUGCUUUACACAUGCAAGUCGAACGGUAACAGGGAGCUUGCUCCGCUGACGAGUGGCGAACGGGUGAGUAAUGCGUCGGAACGUGCCGAGUAGUGGGGGAUAACGCAUCGAAAGGUGUGCUAAUACCGCAUACGAACUGAGGUUGAAAGUGGGGGACCUUCGGGCCUCACGCUAUUCGAGCGGCCGACGUCUGAUUAGCUAGUUGGUGAGGUAAAGGCUCACCAAGGCGACGAUCAGUAGCGGGUCUGAGAGGAUGGUCCGCCACACUGGGACGGAGACACGGCCCAGACUCCUACGGGAGGCAGCAGUGGGGAAUUUUGGACAAUGGGCGCAAGCCUGAUCCAGCCAUGCCGCGUGUCUGAAGAAGGCCUUCGGGUUGUAAAGGACUUUUGUCCGGGAGCAAAUGCUGGUGGCUAACAUCCACCGGAGCUGAGAGUACCGGAAGAAUAAGCACCGGCUAACUACGUGCCAGCCGCCGCGGUAAUAC
rnacentral:rRNA from 1 species